UGAGGAAUAUUGGUCAAUGGGCGUGAGCCUGAACCAGCCAAGUAGCGUGCAGGAAGACGGCCCUAUGGGUUGUAAACUGCUUUUAUGCGGGGAUAAAGGAGUCCACGUGUGGAUUUUUGCAGGUACCGCAUGAAUAAGGACCGGCUAAUUCCGUGCCAGCAGCCGCGGUAAUACGGAAGGUCCGGGCGUUAUCCGGAUUUAUUGGGUUUAAAGGGAGCGUAGGCCGCGUUUUAAGCGUGUUGUGAAAUGUAGACGCCCAACGUCUGCAUCGCAGCGCGAACUGGGACGCUUGAGUACGCGCAACGUUGGCGGAAUUCGUCGUGUAGCGGUGAAAUACUUAGAUAUGACGAGGAACUCCGAUUGCGAAGGCAGCUGACGGGAGCGGCACUGACGCUUAAGCUCGAAGGUGCGGGUAUCAAACAGG
rnacentral:rRNA from 1 species